CCCGGCCUGCCUUCGUCGCCUCGGUGGGCGGCCCCUGGCGAGUCCACACCCCGCCCCGCCUCCUCCGAGUAGGAAACUCCGGGACCCUGCAAGGACUGAUUCACCCGUGAUUCAACCCGCCGCCGAGCGUGGAUUUUUAUGCACUGUACCCACCAGGGAAGUCCUGCUUUGUUGGUUCUCAUUGAGAAUUGUGUGCUCUGAGCAGCUGUUGAUGCGGCCCUGCUCUCCAGAGACUGUAUUUAUUCAUUUACCCAACCAAUAUUUAUUGAGCUCCUACUAUGUGCCAGGCUCUCUUCAAGAUCCUGGAGACUCAGUGUAAGUAUGAAAAAGUCCUUGUUUCACUCAUCAAGUGAUGAAUAAAUCUUUGGUAUAAUUUUGAGUACUAUUAAAUGCUAUGAAGAAAGACAAGGAAACUAAUGAGACAGAGAACAACAGGUGGGAGAACAACAGGUCAGGGUCUAUUUCAUGUGGGAAGAUCAGGGAAGCCUCUUUGGAGAAGGUGGCAUUUGAGCAGAGGCCUGAGAGGUAAGAAGUAAACCCAGGGGAGGAUCUGGGCAAAGUGCGUGGCUGAGACAGAAGAAACAGCCUGUGCAAAGACCCUGAGGUGGGAAACAAGCUUGACGCAGUCUUCGGAAAACAAAGCCCAGUGUGGCUGGAGCAGAGCAAGCUGAAUUUUUCAGCAUCUUCCACACACUGUGUUUCCCACAUAAAGCAAUGAAUGCAUGUAGUAAUUAUAGAGUUGAGAAUUGUAUGUAUAAUUGCAAAGAUCAAUCAAGGUUGCACGUGUAAAUCUCCCAGCUUAGUGCCUAGUACCUUAUGUUGUCGUUUAGUUGCUAAGUUAUGUCUGACUCUUUGUGACCCCAUGGACUGUAGCCUGCCUGCCUCCUCUGUCCAUGGGAUUUCCCAGGGAAGAAUACUGGAGGGGGUUGCUACUUCAUUCUCCUGGGGAUCUUCUCGACCCAUAGAUUAGACCCGUGUCUCCUGCAAUGGCAGGAGGAUUCUUUACCACUGAUCCACCAGGGAAGCCCCCUAGUGCAUUUUAAGUUUUAGUAAAUGUAAGCUAUAAUCAUUAUCUUUAUCACUUGGGCAGCUCAAUGUUCCUGCCUAACCAAUGCACAUAACUAGGACUCCACAGGAGAAAACAGGAGACCUAGGAUGCUGUGGGUAGCUGCUCUGCCCUCUCAGGCCUUAGGUCCGAGUCCUGUUUGUGGUCUGGUUACUUAUGUGCCCUAAGGCAAUUUCCCUACUUGUCUUGGAUGUGUGAGCCAUGUAAUUCCUUCUUCAAAAGUUAUAAAGAUGAGACUCCAGCCAAUAAUUCGACAUGAAAAGAGGCUAUUUUCUCAUCCUCAGGCUUAGUAAAGAUUCCUGCCUUAAGCCAGUCAUUAUAGAAAUGACUCAGCCUUUCUCUCGUGUGUUAAUAAGAUUUUACUGGUUUUGGUCCUGACUCAAACUGGCUUGGAGUGAUGAGAUCACGGAUGCUGUGCCCAUGUGUCAUCGUGUAACUGCUUACUUGACUACCCAGAUGCGCGUAAGGCCACUGCAACCUGUCACCUUCCCUCCAGGUCUGCUACGGUCCUCGCCCAACUCACACAAAGGGUACCUACCUGUUCCCUCCAUCCUCAUCUGCCAGGAAGCGGGGAUGCAGUUCUCUUUCCUCUCUAAGGGCCAAUCAGGCUGUGAAAAAGGGUUAGUGAGCUGAACUCAAAGUAAGGCAUCUGAGCUCUCUUUGCACCUUAAUAUCAACAAUGCUUGGUGUCUUUUGGGGAGGCCUCACUGUGAGAACUGAUCCAGGCCCGGGUCUCAAAUUAAACCUUUUAUUAGGGUUACGAGGGGGACCCUCUGGUCUCUUUUGGUUAAAAUUAUCCUGGUAGUUUAGAAGCAAACCAGAAUCCAUUUAUUUAUUUGACAGACAUUACGGAUCACUGGGUACCCAGUGCCCCAGCAGGGCUUAGGCACCAAGGACAGAGAGACAGAAGGCAGUCUCUAGUGCCUCAAAGUCUAGUGUAAGGAGACCGAUGAGAAAAUAAACAGUUGUAGAUUAGCGUGAUUGGUAUUGUAACAGAUCCUUGGGUGCUACAGGCCUUUGGGGGUACCUGGCCCACACUGAUAGUCAAGAAAGACUUUCUAAAGGAUGGAAUGCUUAAAUGACUUUGGAAGGAUGCAUAGGUGUCAUAUAAUCAGGAAAGGUCCAGGAAGGGGGCAGAGGGAUGUUCCUAGAGAUGAAACAGCCUGAAAAGCCAGCUAGCCGUGACCACUAACAUCCAUUUUCUCCUUCUUGCUGGGUGCACAGUUCGACCAUAUGACCCAGUCCCCCUUACAGGUGAGUGUGGCCCCGUGACUGAGUUCUGGCCAGAGGCAGGUGUGCAGAGGUGAUGGGUGAUGGGGGGCCCCGCCCAGGGUCCUCUCCUGUGCGCCCUUCCCUGCGCCUUCCCAGUUCAGCUCCUUGGGAGCAGGAGGAGUCGGGCCCCAAAGGGCCCUGUGUGCGGCUUGAGGGAAGUCCAGAGUUAAGGGGCAGGUGAUAAGCACAGGGAAGCAAUCACAUUUAGCUUUUAGAAUAAUGGAGCUAGGGUGAUAUUUGUGACAAGGUUGAACUUAACCUGAGGAAAACAGCCACGCAAAAUCCUCUACCCUUUGGAGUUUUCACCACCCAACCACCAUCCUUUUGUGAUCCAUAGGUGAAACCUCAAAGGACCACCACCCUCAAAUAUUCUGAGAUAGACCCAUCUUCAUCCUUCCUCAAGGCUCCUGUAAGAUUCAGGAUGACUCCCUUGUUCACCUGCCUGUAUGAAGCCCCAGGUCCCUUCCUUUUCUUUGAGAUGUUCCUCCUUAAUGAACAUUCUCCCUGUUGCAAUAGACUGAAUAAAAGCAUCUCUUUCAGUG